rnacentral:rRNA from 1 species
GGUGCAUGGCCGUCGUCAGUUCGUACUGUGAAGCAUCCUGUUAAGUCAGGCAACGAGCGAGACCCACGCCCACAGUUGCCAGCGUACUCUCUGGAGUGACGGGUACACUGUGGGGACCGCCGCUGCUAAAGCGGAGGAAGGAAUGGGCAACGGUAGGUCAGUAUGCCCCGAAUAUCCCGGGCUACACGCGAGCUACAAUGGUUGGUACAAUGGGUAUCUACCCCGAAAGGGGACGGGAAUCUCCUAAAACCAAUCUUAGUUCGGAUUGAGGGCUGCAACUCGCCCUCAUGAAGCUGGAAUCCGUAGUAAUCGCGUUUCAACAGAACGCGGUGAAUACGUCCCUGCUCCUU